rnacentral:rRNA from 1 species
UAGGGAAUCUUCCACAAUGGACGCAAGUCUGAUGGAGCAACGCCGCGUGAGUGAAGAAGGUUUUCGGACCGUAAAGCUCUGUUGUUGGUGAAGAAGGAUAGAGGUAGUAACUGGCCUUUAUUUGACGGUAAUCAACCAGAAAGUCACGGCUAACUACGUGCCAGCAGCCGCGGUAAUACGUAGGUGGCAAGCGUUGUCCGGAUUUAUUGGGCGUAAAGCGAGCGCAGGCGGAAGAAUAAGUCUGAUGUGAAAGCCCUCGGCUUAACCGAGGAAUUGCAUCGGAAACUGUUUUCUUGAGUGCAGAAGAGGAGAGUAGAACUCCAUGUGUAGCGGUGGAAUGCGUAGAUAUAUGGAAGAAUACCAGUGGCGAAGGCGGCUCUCUGAUCUGCAACUGACGCUGAGGCUCGAAAGCAUGGGUAGCGAACAGGAUUAGAUACCCUGGUAGUCCAUGCCGUAAACGAUGAGUGCUAAGUGUUGGGAGGCUUCCGCCUCUCAGUGCUGCAGCUAACGCAUUAAGCACUCCGCCUGGGGGAGUACGACCGCAAGGUUGAAAC